rnacentral:rRNA from 1 species
CAUGCAAGUCGAACGGCAGCAACGGGUGCUUGCAACCUGGUGGCGAGUGGCAACGGGUGAGUAAUGCAUCGGAACGUGCCUAUUAGAGGGGGAUAACGCUUCGAAAGGAGUGCUAAUACCGCAUAAUCUCUGAGGAGGAAAGCAGGGGAUCUUAUGACCUUGCGCUGAUAGAGCGGCCGAUGUCGGAUUAGCUAGUUGGUGAGGUAAAGGCUCACCAAGGCGACGAUCCGUAGCGGGUCUGAGAGGAUGAUCCGCCACACUGGGACUGAGACACGGCCCAGACUCCUACGGGAGGCAGCAGUGGGGAAAUUUUUGGACAAUGGGCGCAAGCCUGAUCCAGCCAUGCCGCGUGAGUGAAGAAGGCCUUCGGGUUGUAAAGCUCUUUUGUCAGGGAAGAAACAGCAGCUCUAACACAGUCUGCGAAUGACGGUACCUGAAGAAUAAGCACCGGCUAACUACGUG